rnacentral:rRNA from 1 species
GGUUCCUACGGGACGCAGCAGUGAGGAAUAUUGGUCAAUGGGCGAGAGCCUGAACCAGCCAAGUCGCGUGAGGGAAGACGGUCCUAUGGAUUGUAAACCUCUUUUGCCGGGGAGCAAAAAGCGGUACGUGUACCGCAUCGAGAGUACCCGGAGAAAAAGCAUCGGCUAACUCCGUGCCAGCAGCCGCGGUAAUACGGAGGAUGCGAGCGUUAUCCGGAUUUAUUGGGUUUAAAGGGUGCGUAGGCGGAUCGUUAAGUCAGUGGUCAAAUUGAGGGGCUCAACCCCUUCCCGCCAUUGAAACUGGC